rnacentral:rRNA from 1 species
AACGAACGCUGGCGGCAUGCCUAACACAUGCAAGUCGAACGCCUGUAGCAAUACAGGAGUGGCGCACGGGUGAGUAACGCGUGGGAACCUGCCCUGGAGUGGGGGAGUAACCGAGAGAAAUUCGGCUAAUACCGCAUACGACCUGAGGGUGAAGAUUUAUCGCUCUAGGAGGGGCCGGCGUCGGAUUAGCUAGUUGGUGAGGUAACGGCGCACCAAGGCGACGAUCAGAGCUGGUCUGAGAGGAUGAUCAGCCACAUUGGGAC